rnacentral:rRNA from 1 species
GGACGAACGCUGGCGGCGUGCCUAAUACAUGCAAGUAGAACGCUGAAGAGAGGAGCUUGCUCUUCUUGGAUGAGUUGCGAACGGGUGAGUAACGCGUAGGUAACCUGCCUUGUAGCGGGGGAUAACUAUUGGAAACGAUAGCUAAUACCGCAUAACAAUGGAUGACACAUGUCAUUUAUUUGAAAGGGGCAACUGCUCCACUACAAGAUGGACUUGCGUUGUAUUAGCUAGUAGGUGAGGUAACGGCUCACCUAGGCGACGAUACAUAGCCGACCUGAGAGGGUGAUCGGCCACACUGGGACUGAGACACGGCCCAGACUCCUACGGGAGGCAGCAGUAGGGAAUCUUCGGCAAUGGGGGCAACCCUGACCGAGCAACGCCGCGUGAGUGAAGAAGGUUUUCGGAUCGUAAAGCUCUGUUGUAAGUCAAGAACGAGUGUGAGAGUGGAAAGUUCACACUGUGACGGUAGCUUACCAGAAAGGGACGGCUAACUAACGUGCCAGCAGCCGCGGUAAU